rnacentral:rRNA from 1 species
GUCCACGCCGUAAACGAUGGAUACUAGCUGUUGGGGGCAACUUCAGUGGCUAAGCGAAAGUGAUAAGUAUCCCACCUGGGGAGUACGUUCGCAAGAAUGAAACUCAAAGGAAUUGACGGUGGCCCCGCACAAGCGGUGGAGCAUGUGGUUUAAUUCGAUGAUACGCGAGGAACCUUACCAAGGCUUAAAUGUAGAUUGACAGAUUUGGAAACAGAUUUUUCUUCGGACAAUUUACAAGGUGCUGCAUGGUUGUCGU